GGGCCUGUAGCUCAGCGGUUAGAGCAGUCGACUCAUAAUCGAUUGGUCGCGGGUUCGAACCCGCCGGGCCCACCA
rnacentral:tRNA from 1 species